rnacentral:tRNA from 30 species
GCGGACGUAGCUCAGCUGGUAGAGCGCCGGUUUGUGGUACCGGUGGUCGCGGGUUCAAGUCCCGUCGUUCGCCCCA